CACGUAGGGGGCAAGCGUUGGUCCGGAUUUAUUGGGCGUAAAGAGCUCGUAGGCGGUUCGCUAAGUCGGGUGUGAAACCUCCAGGCUCAACCUGGAGACGCCACCUGAUACUGGUGUGACUCGAGUCCGGUAGGGGAGCGUGGGAAUUCCUGGUGUAGCGGUGAAAUGACGGCAGAUAUCAGGAGGAACACCAGCGGCGAAGGCGGCGCUCUGGGCCGGAACUGACGCUGAGGAGCGAAAGCGUGGGUAGCAAACAGG
rnacentral:rRNA from 1 species